AUAGACCUUAUUCAUAAAUCGUGAUGAGGCCUCGUAUCCUAGGAAACGGGGAAAAACGCGGGAAAAUUGACAAAAUGUUUUUUUUUGCUGUCGGCUAUGGCAGCUUUUUUCGUGAAUAUUACGGCUUUUUUCGAAAAUAAUAUCUAUAAAACUGAGCUUGAAAGUUGAAAAAAAAUACUUCUGAGAAAAUAUAACAUGAUAUUUAAAGCAAAAGAUGCUGGAGUCAGUCAAAAAAGGAAACCUUUGACUUUG